rnacentral:rRNA from 1 species
UGCGUAGGCGGAUCAAAAAGUCAGUGGUGAAAUCUCUCGGCUCAACCGGGAAACUGCCAUUGAUACUGUUGAUCUUGAGUUCGGUUGAGGUAGGCGGAAUGUGUAAUGUAGCGGUGAAAUGCUUAGAUAUUACACAGAACACCAAUUGCGUAGGCAGCUUACUAGACCGACACUGACGCUGAGGCACGAAAGCGUGGGGAGCGAACAGGAUUAGAUACCCUGGUAGUCC